rnacentral:rRNA from 1 species
UUGGACGGCCAUAGGGGCGUAAUUCACCCGUUCCCAUUUCGAACACGGAAGUUAAGGACGCCUCCGUUCCAGGGUGUACUGCAUUGCGUGGGAAACCUGGUUAGCUGUCCACC